CCUACGGGCGGCAGCAGUGGGGAAUAUUGCACAAUGGGGGAAACCCUGAUGCAGCGACGCCGCGUGAGUGAAGAAGUAAUUCGUUAUGUAAAGCUCUAGCAGCAGGGAAGAAAAUGACGGUAACUGAGGAAGAAGCCACGGCUAAAUACGUGCCAGCAGCCGCGGUAAUACGUAGGGGGCAAGCGUUAUCCGGAUUUACUGGGUGUAAAGGGAGCGUAGACGGCAGUGCAAGUCUGGAGUGAAAGGCGGGGGCUCAACCCCCGGACUGCUCUGGAAACUGUACGGCUUGAGUGCAGGAGAGGUAAGUGGAAUUCCUAGUGUAGCGGUGAAAUGCGUAGAUAUUAGGAGGAACACCAGUGGCGAAGGCGGCUUACUGGACUGUAACUGACGUUGAGGCUCGAAAGCGUGGGGAGCAAACAGGAUUAGAUACCCUAGUAGUC
rnacentral:rRNA from 1 species